AUUGAACGCUGGCGGCAUGCUUUACACAUGCAAGUCGAACGGUAGAGGGGGCAACUCCUUGAGAGUGGCGAACGGGUGAGUAAUGCAUCGGAACGUGCCCAGUCGUGGGGGAUAACGCAGCGAAAGCUGUGCUAAUACCGCAUACGAUCUCUGGAUGAAAGCGGGGGACCGAAAGGCCUCGCGCGAUUGGAGCGGCCGAUGUCAGAUUAGGUAGUUGGUGGGGUAAAGGCUCACUAAGCCAACGAUCUGUAGCUGGUCUGGGAGGACGACCAGCCACACUGGUACGGAGGCACGGCCCAGACUCCUACGGGAGGCAGCAGUGGGGAAUUUUGGACAAUGGGCGCAAGCCUGAUCCAGCAAUGCCGCGUGCAGGAAGAAGGCCUUCGGGUUGUAAACUGCUUUUGUACGGAACGAAAAGGUCUGGGUUAAUACCCUGGGCACAUGACGGUACCGUAAGAAUAAGCACCGGCUAACUACGUGCCAGCCGCCGCAGUAA
rnacentral:rRNA from 1 species